rnacentral:rRNA from 1 species
UACGGAGGGUGCAAGCGUUGUCCGGAAUCACUGGGCGUAAAGGGCGCGUAGGCGGCUCAUGAAGGCUGUGGUGAAAGUCCGGGGCUCAACCUCGGAUCGGCCGUGGCGACUCGUGGGCUGGAGCACUGUAGAGGCGGGUGGAAUUCCGGGUGUAGCGGUGGAAUGCGUAGAGAUGCGGAAGAACACCAGUUGCGAAGGCGGCCCGCUGGGCAGUGGCUGACGCUGAGGCGCGACAGCGUGGGGAGCAAACAGG